rnacentral:rRNA from 1 species
UACAGAGGUCCCGAGCGUUGCUCGGAUUCACUGGGCGUAAAGGGCGCGUAGGCGGUCGGGUAAGUCUGAUGUGAAAUCUCACAGCUUAACUGUGAAACUGCAUUGGAUACUAUUCGGCUUGAGAGUUGGAGGGGGGACUGGAAUUCUUGGUGUAGCAGUGAAAUGCGUAGAUAUCAAGAGGAACACCAGUGGCGAAGGCGAGUCCCUGGACAGCUUCUGACGCUGAGGCACGAAAGCUAGGGGAGCAAACAGG